rnacentral:rRNA from 1 species
UGGGGAAUAUUGCACAAUGGGCGCAAGCCUGAUGCAGCCAUGCCGCGUGUAUGAAGAAGGCCUUCGGGUUGUAAAGUACUUUCAGCGGGGAGGAAGGCGAUAAGGUUAAUAACCUUGUCGAUUGACGUUACCCGCAGAAGAAGCACCGGCUAACUCCGUGCCAGCAGCCGCGGUAAUACGGAGGGUGCAAGCGUUAAUCGGAAUUACUGGGCGUAAAGCGCACGCAGGCGGUCUGUCAAGUCGGAUGUGAAAUCCCCGGGCUCAACCUGGUAACUGCAUUCGAAACUGGCAGGCUAGAGUCUUGUAGAGGGGGGUAGAAUUCCAGGUGUAGCGGUGAAAUGCGUAGAGAUCUGGAGGAAUACCGGUGGCGAAGGCGGCCCCCUGGACAAAGACUGACGCUCAGGUGCGAAAGCGUGGGGAGCAAACA